AAACUCCGCAAUGCGCGAAAGCGUGACGGGGCUACCCCGAGUGCUAUCCGCUGAGGAUAGCUUUUCUUCGGUUUAAGGAGCCGGAGGAAUAAGGGGAGGGCAAGCCUGGUGUCAGCCGCCGCGGUAAUACCAGCUCCCCGAGUGGUGAGGAUAAUUAUUGGGCCUAAAGCGUCCGUAGCUGGCUUAGCAAGUCUUUUGUUAAAUCCGGCGAUCCCAUCGUCGGACUGCAGGAGAUACUGCUGGGCUAGGGGGCGGAAGAAGUCGACGGUACUCCUGAGGUAGGGGUGAAAUCCUAUAAUCUCAGGAGGACCACCAGUGGCGAAGGCGGUCGGCUAGAACGCGCUCGACGGUGAGGGACGAAAGCUGGGGGAGCGAUCCGG
rnacentral:rRNA from 1 species